rnacentral:rRNA from 1 species
GAUGAACGCUGGCGGCGUGCCUAAUACAUGCAAGUCGAGCGAACAGACGAGGAGCUUGCUCCCCUGACGCUAGCGGCGGACGGGUGAGUAACACGUGGAUAACCUACCUAUAAGACUGGGAUAACUUCGGGAAACCGGAGCUAAUACCGGAUAAUAUAUUGAACCGCAUGGUUCAAUAGUGAAAGACGGUUUUGCUGUCACUUAUAGAUGGAUCCGCGCCGCAUUAGCUAGUUGGUAAGGUAACGGCUUACCAAGGCAACGAUGCGUAGCCGACCUGAGAGGGUGAUCAGCCACACUGGAACUGAGACACGGUCCAGACUCCUACGGGAGGCAGCAGUAGGGAAUCUUCCGCAAUGGGCGAAAGCCUGACGGAGCAACGCCGCGUGAGUGAUGAAGGUCUUCGGAUCGUAAAACUCUGUUAUUAGGGAAGAACAAAUGUGUAAGUAACUAUGCACGUCUUGACGGUACCUAAUCAAAAAGCCACGGCUAACUUCGUG